rnacentral:rRNA from 1 species
UACGUAGGGUCCGAGCGUUGUCCGGAAUUAUUGGGCGUAAAGGGCUCGUAGGCGGUCUGUGCGUCGGGAGUGAAACUUACAGCUUAACUGUGAGCGUGCUUCCGAUACGGGCAGACUUGAGGUAUUCAGGGGAGAACGGAAUUCCUGGUGUAGCGGUGAAUGCGCAGAUAUCAGGAGGAACACCAAUGGCGAAGGCAGCUCGCUGGACGUGACUGACGCUGAGACGCGAAGCGUGGGAGGAACAGAUGAGAACCCA